GACGAACGCUGGCGGCGUGCUUAACACAUGCAAGUCGAACGGAAAGGCCCUGCUUGCAGGGUACUCGAGUGGCGAACGGGUGAGUAACACGUGGGUGAUCUGCCCUGCACUUCGGGAUAAGCUUGGGAAACUGGGUCUAAUACCGGAUAGGACCGCACUUUAGUGUGUGUGGUGGAAAGUUUUUUCGGUGUAGGAUGAGCUCGCGGCCUAUCAGCUUGUUGGUGGGGUAAUGGCCUACCAAGGCGGCGACGGGUAGCCGGCCUGAGAGGGUGUACGGCCACAUUGGGACUGAGAUACGGCCCAGACUCCUACGGGAGGCAGCAAUGGGGAAUAUUGCACAAUGGGCGCAAGCCUGAUGCAGCGACGCCGCGUGGGGGAUGAAGGCCUUCGGGUUGUAAACUCCUUUCGCUAGGGACGAAGCUUUGUUGUGACGGUACCUAGAUAAGAAGCACCGGCUAACUACGUG
rnacentral:rRNA from 1 species